CAGAUUAUGGUUGUGCCGCGGAGAGACCACCGGGAUUGCCUCAGUAACGGCGAGUGAAGCGGCAAGAGCUCAAAUUUGAAAUCUGGCCCCCUCGGGGUCCGAGUUGUAAUUUGGAGAGGAUGCUUCGGGUGCGGUCCCCGUCUAAGUGCCCUGGAACGGGCCGUCAUAGAGGGUGAGAAUCCCGUCUGGGAUGGGCGGCCGCGCCCGUGUGAAGCUCCUUCGACGAGUCGAGUUGUUUGGGAAUGCAGCUCUAAGCGGGUGGUAAAUUUCAUCUAAAGCUAAAUACUGGCCGGAGACCGAUAGCGCACAAGUAGAGUGAUCGAAAGAUGAAAAGCACUUUGAAAAGAGAGUUAAACAGCACGUGAAAUUGUUGAAAGGGAAGCGUUGGCCCCCAGACGCGCCCAGGGGGGUUCAGCCGGCACGUGUGCCGGUGCACUCCCCCCUGGGUGGGCCAGCAUCGGUUUGGGCGGUCGCUGAAAGGCCCCGGGAAUGUAGCACCCUCCGGGGUGCCUUAUAGCCCGGGGUGUCAUGCGGCCCGCCUGGACCGAGGCCCGCGCUUCGGCGAGGAUGCUGGCGUAAUGGUGGUCAACGGCCCGUCUUGAAACACGGACCAAGGAGUCUAACAUCUAUGCGAGUGUUCGGGUGUCAAACCCGUCCGCGCAGUGAAAGCGAACGCAGGUGGGAACCCCUCCCGGGGCGCACCAUCGACCGAUCCUGAUGUCUUCGGAUGGAUUUGAGUAAGAGCAUAGCUGUUGGGACCCGAAAGAUGGUGAACUAUGCCUGAAUAGGGCGAAGCCAGAGGGAAACUCUGGUGGAGGCUCGCAGCGGUUCUGACGUGCAAAU
rnacentral:rRNA from 1 species